AUGAGGUAUUAACUAAUUGGCUUACUAAUAUGAUCCAUCCUCAAUUUAGAUAAAAUAUAAAAUAUAAAUUAAGGAAAUUAACAAUACUAAUUAAUAGAUAUCUAAUUAACUAAUAGAUAAUUUCAUAAUGAAUUAUUGGAAGGGUGAAUAACUAAAAUAACGAGUUUAAUAUUAAACAUCGGUUAAAACAAGAAUCUUGAACAUCACUAACAGAAACAGAAGAGGAAAGCUGUAUACUAUUGGUCCAGGUGGGAAUCUGAAAUUUCAUUGGCUGAGAGAAAUAAGUCCCGCCUCCGCGAAAUAAAACCGUGCGACGCAGCUGAGCGAGAGGAGAGACAAACGGCUGUGCAGCACGCAGAUACAGAAAGCAAAGACUGAGCGGUUAGAGAGAGAGAGAGAGAAAAAAAAAACAACGGUCGAGGCCGUGAAGAACCCUGAUUUGGGUGCCGCAUAGAUAGAGGGAGAGGCGGACUUGACUCCUUCUAAUAAGAGCUAGGAACUUGGAACCAACGCGAUUUGUGUGGAGACGACAGAGUGAACCAAUCCUCUGUAGGAGGGAACCGUUGGAGCGCGUUGGCUGGGUUUUUUUUUCCUUGGGUUUGAUCCCGACUCCUAUGAUCACUCACUUGGAACGAGAACUGGAUUUCUUCCUGACGAGGGAGAUGGCGAGCCUUAACCACUGAACGAACCAGGACAUCUCAAGUAACUGAAGAGCAGACUGCUCUCUUCUGUGAACAAUCUCAACGGUGCGGUAGGAAAAAAUCGCACCACCGGACUCUGACUUUCACCCCAAGCGUGGGGAUUUGACUUGACGCCGGCUGACUUGUGACUCAUAUGAUCAAAUCUCAUACCGAGCAUUUUACUAUUGUCGAUUGUUUUCAUCUGUUUUUGUGUGUUAUCUUUAUGUGUUAUAUUUCCCACUAUUAUUAAAAUUUAGUAUAUAAACCGUUUCAUGCUAUACCCGUGACUCCAGUCAUUCUUAAACAACCUCCAAUUCUCCCCGAACCUAAUUAUUGGCCCAUUUGUUUAUUUUUUCUUUUAAUUAUCUUAUUGUAUCCUGUAAUCCGGUUACAUAAAACUUGGCGAGCCAGCCAGGAGAAUUGUAGAGUUGUUACCUUAGCUAACCAUUGACUGACAUCAUAAGAGUGCCUGGAGGUCACAGUGGUUUGCCAUUUUGGCAUUAUUGGUACUUUUGAGUGUUUUAAAAUGGAAGUUGUGAAAACAGAAAAGGUCAAAGUUUCAAAUGCUGUUUUAAUCAGUGGGUUAACUGAUACAGACCUUGAUAACGAAGUCUUUGGGUUUAUGGAAGGAUUCGGACCAGUUAACAGGCGCAUUAAGUUACCAAACUGUGAUCAGAUUAUUGUGGAGUUUCAACAUGAAGCCACUGUUAAGGAAUUAAA